rnacentral:rRNA from 1 species
UGGUAGUGUAUUGGACUACCAUGGCUUUCACGGGUAACGGAGGAUUAGGGUUCGAUUCCGGAGAGGGAGCCUGAGAAACGGCUACCACAUCUAAGGAAGGCAGCAGGCGCGUAAAUUACCCAAUCCUGACUCAGGGAGGUAGUGACAAGAAAUAACGGACCGAAGCUUUUGUUUCGGGAUUGCAAUGAGUAGAAUUUAAACCCCUUUACGAGGAUCAAUUGGAGGGCAAGUCUGGUGCCAGCAGCCGCGGUAAUUCCAGCUCCAAUAGCGUAUAUUAAAGUUGUUGCAGUUAAAAAGCUCGUAGUUGGAUUUCUGAAGGGGUGCCAAUGUCCGCUGUUGCGUGUUCAGCGGCGCCCCUUCAUCCUUCUGUUAACGUCUCGGGUAUUCAUUUACUCGUUUCGGGCUCAGAUAUUUUACCUUGAGAAAAUUAGAGUGUUCUAGGCAGGCUUGCGCCGGAAUACAUUAGCAUGGAAUAAUAGAAUAGGACUUUAGUCUCCUUUGUUGGUUUGAGGGAUUGAAGUAAUGAUUAAUAGGGAUAGUUGGGGGCAUUAGUAUUUAAUUGUCAGAGGUGAAAUUCUCGGAUUUGUUAAAGACUAACUUAUGCGAAAGCAUUUGCCAAGGAUGUUUUCAUUAAUCAAGAACGAAAGUUAGGGGAUCAAAGACGAUCAGA